AAAAUUAUAGUUUUUAAUUUAUAUAUAAUCCAAAUUUUAAUAGUAUUGAAUAGAGAGAAUAGAAAUAUACAAAUAUUAAAACUAAUACUAUAAAUUAUCUUUAUGCAUUGAGGUUUUUAUUAAAGAUAGAUCAUAUAUUCAAAUAUAUUAUGUCAAUUAAUUAUAAGGAAUUGAAAAAAUAUAAUAUUAUUUAUUUAAUUUAAUUUAUGUGUAUUUUCACAGUUUAAAUAUGAAGUCAUUUGAAAAUUAUUAUAAAAAUAAAUGCUUUAUUUUAAAUUUAAAUCAUAUAAUUUUUAGUUUUAGAUUUUAAAAAAUAAUCUUACAUAUGUAUAUAUAUUCAUAUAUAUAUAUAUAUAUAUAUGGAUACGUUUCCAACACGUAUCCGCUUCUUAAUUUUUUUAAAAAUCUCGCUUCUGCGCUUCCAUACGCUUCCGCUUCCACGUACCCGCUUCCGUUUCCAUGUAAGAUAGCUUCAGUGCAAUUAGCUAAUCUUCAAACUUUUUGGUACUCAACGAUUUAAUCUAAUUCAUUAUACUAUAAAUAUACCUCUAAUAUUUCUUUAAUGAAAUCACUCUUGUGCAUUUAAAAGAUGGCUUAAAAAACGCUUUUGCUUACAAAAUAAUUUCAUAUCCAAUGGUUGUAAGGAAGAGAGAGACAGUGGAAACUUUGAUUAGAUCUAGAAAAACAUAUCAUUUCUACUACUUUUCUUAGCUAUCUUUAGAAAAAUAAAAAUGGUUAAAAGACAACACAAUGUUUUCUCAGUGUUAAAGUAUCGCUAUAUUAAGAUAUUAGAAGAUCACAUAACAAUGUUCAGUUAUUCAAAGUAUUGAAGGGUCUCUUGCAAAAUAUGUUUGAUCUUUAAUAAGGUUUUAGAUGAUUUUAAUGAAUUGCAUGGAUUAAAGUGAUUUUUGUUUAAUCAUCCUAGAAUAUCAACUAAAACCAUGAGAUUUGAAUUUUAAUUUUUUAACUAAUAAAUUCUUCCAAAACACUUUAAAAUCACUUGAAAAAUUUAAAACUAUACAACUUAGAAUAUUAUUAAUAGCACUGGAUUUCAGAGUACUUCAUAAAAUGUCAAGUUCAAUAACACUAGAUUUUAAAUAUCUUUUUUAAUUCAUAUUUGAAUAAUAGUGAAUUUGUCAAAUCUCAAUUGAAUACACCUCUUCUCCCCCCCUCCCUCCUCCCCCCCCAAAACAAAAACAAAAUUCCAAAAUAAUCAACUGAACCAUAUAUUUCAACAGACCAAAAAUAAACUCCAAAUUUAAUGGAAAAUGUAAAAUUAUUUAUAAAACUUAUUUUACAUAAAUUUAAAAUAAAUGAAAUCCCGCGCUAAGCGCGGGUUAGAAUCUAGUUUUUUUUUAAAUCAGAGGCAAAAAGUUAACCUAGAACUACUUAAUUUAGGUUUCCAAACACUCUUCAACAAUAAAGACAAAACUAUACCCUUAUCUCUUAUCUCGUUUAGAAUAACCCUUUUUGUGACCUUUUUCCAAGCUUUCCCUUUCAUCAUUUUAAUUAGAUUGGGGAUUUAAUUGAUAUGCUGAAUCGAAGGCCGAGCAGAACUAGAGGAGUUCGACAGGUGGAUUCGGCGAGGGCUAGGGUUACGAAUCGGUGAUUACGGUGAGGGCUAGGGUUACGAAUUGGAGAACUGCUGCUAUAGUUUACAUGUACGAGAAAUUUUUCUUAUAUAAAUUUCAUUUUGUUAAAUACUGAUUAAGAAAAUAAAAAUAUAUAUUUUUUAAAAAGUUAAAAGAUGAAAAACUAACGUGAUGUUAUUGUAGAAACUUGAAAAAAGAGGUUUCUGGUUUUUCUUUAGAAAGUAACAAUUUGUUUCAAAAACCAGUUUUCCUAAAUUAUAGAGAAUCUAUUUCUUCAAACUUGAUUGGCUAAAAAGUGGUUUUUCGAAAACAAAAACUAAACACUACUGCAGAAUUAGAGUUAAUUAGGGUUUGGUUAAUUAGUUUUUGGUUUAAUGUGAUCUGGUUUUCUUAGUUUCUUUAAUUCUAGUUUAGUUUUGCAAAACUAAUUUUAUUUGUAAAUUGGUUUUAAUUAACAAAUAUAAUUUAAUUUAAUUUUAAAUUUGGAUUUAUUUGUAUUUUAAUUUUAAUAUUAAUUUAUAUUUAAUUCCAUUGUAUGUUACAUACACAUUAAUAUAUAAUUGCUAUUAUAGAAAGACCUAUAGCACGAAAUAUGAAUCGUAGUUAACUUAAUAACAUCAUCCAAAAUAUUGCUAUCGCAUAUGUACAUUUUUUUGUCAUUGAAAUCAAAUUAAGGCCGAAGCCAACGUGUUCAACCGAAACUUGUUUAUAGGAAAGCCAUAAAUAAUAGAAAGACAACAACACCAGUAGGUGCCAAACAAAACCCAUACACUAGGCAAAGAAAAUUAAGUAGCAGGAUUAACAGAGCACCUGCAGCGUCAAAAAAGUGUUAUCAUAGAGGGGAUACCUACGAUGGCUGUCUAUAAUAUAGCAUUUAUGAAUUCACUAUAAAACAUCUACGAUAGCAUAUUUUCCGCAUUAAGAAUGUACAUAUUUCUUGUAGUGAUUAUAUAAAUGAUUUAUGUCUGAUUGCACUAUUAAACCGUUCUAUUCCGGUCUGGUAACCCAGACCAUCUCAAGUUUGAGUAAUAGAAUAGCCGUUCGCUGUAAAAAAAAUGUCUUAUAAAAUUCACAUUUGGCUAUAUUCCUUACACCAUGCUGAAUUUUUUUUGUAAUAUUUUUUCUAUUAAUCUGCAUAAUUCAUUCUUUUGAGAUUCUAAAUACAAACUUCCUUAUGUACAGAGGCGGACCCACGUGUUAGGAAGGGGUUGCACCUGCAACAGGUUAAAUAUAAUAUUAGUGAGUUUUAUUCAUUGUAUACAAAGAUAAUGUAGCUCAGUUGGUACAAAGCCUGCUUUCUUGAACCCCCAUUCCCGAGUUCAAACCCCCUAGAUACCAUUUUUUUCUUAUUUUUAUAAAAAGUAUUUUAUAUUGGGCUGAAACUAAAACAUUUGACACCCCUAAAAAGAGAGGCUGGGUCCGCCACUGCUUAUGUAACAACGUUAACGAACCUUUUAUCAUACCAGUGGACUAAAGGACCUUCCACCACUAAUUUCUUGUCCAUCUGAUGAUUUAAGAUGACCGUUAGGUGACGAUACUGGCAGUGUUCAUAGUGACACCAAUCUCUCUUUGCUUUUCGUUCUCGAUGAGUUGGAAGAUGAGGAUAUAUAACAGUUAUCCAUUGUGUUUGUUGCCUGCGCUGGAAUACUUUAGUGGUGAAUAAUGAUUUAUGUAUUUUGGGCCUUUUAAUAUUUUGGACUUUAGGUUUAGGCGUUUGAAAAAAUGGGCCUUUAUUGAAUAAAGUACCGUUUUUUAGUAAACACAAAAUCAACAUUUUUGCGGGGAACCAUAUAAUUUAAUAUUCAGAUCACAUAAAUCUGAUCAAAUGUACAAGCAAAUGGUUAAAAUAUGUGUGGUUUGACGACAGUGAAUUGCUCGGAAUUGGUUAAGGUUAUCAAUCAUGGAGAAGAACUCCGAGAUAUAAGAGCUUUGAUUUAUGGUAUACGAAGACUGAAUUGGAUGUAUGCUGAGACGAGGAGAGUAGAAUAUCAAAUACAAACUCAUAUAUAAUUCAUGAAUAUAGAUUGCAAUAAGUGUAUAUAUAUUAUCAACUCCAAAUCACGGAGGCUCUUGUAUCAUGCAUUAAGUUAAUUAAACUACGUCAAAUAUGAAUGGUUUUGUAUUUUGGCAGUAUUUAGUUAUAUAUAGCGCUGAGGUUUUUGAUCAAAUAAUCGUGAAAAGUUUAAAUGCAUACGAAUCUUUUCAGUUUCGAGAGAGUUCUCGAGUCUGUUGCUGUCUUUCCUCGAGAUUUCAUAUGAUAAUUUUUAAUAUUGUCAAGGUAGCCAUCAACUCUAUUAUGAUAUUAACGAACAAAUCCCAAAACUGGCCAAAUUUUUUUUUUUUUUUUUUUAAAAACUGGCCAAUUGUGUUAUAUUAAAAAACAAAAUAAUAAUCUAUUUUUUCAAAAUAAAAUAAAAUAAUAAUAGGUACACUACAAGAAACAUUGAUUAUUAUAAGACGUAUAUUAACUAUAAUAUGCAUGGAAGUCUUACGUAAGUGCUUUUUCAAUAAAAAGAAAGUCUUACGUAAGUGCCUUAAGUGGCCACAUCAACUGCACAACCAUUGCGAUUUCGUAUCAAAUUAUAUCAUUUUGUAUGUAUAAUGUAUACACAAAUGUAUCCCGUUUUUUAUGUAUAGAUAAAUGGAUUUUUUGGUCAUUAUCUGCUGACUCUGCUCCUCUCAACUGUUUAGGGUUCAGAGUCUUUUGUCUAUACGAACAAUCUGUUAAACAUAAUAAGAAAAUGAAUAUAUACGGGAAUUACAAUCUAUAGUUUAUUGCCUAUACUCGAAAUUAACGGUGAGUACGUUUGUGUUUGGAUAAAUCGCAAGAAAGACGAACCACAUUAUAACUGAAAUUGUUUUCUGAAAUUAAUGGUACUUAAAAAUGAGGGGAAUUUCAAAAGUUGACCACAAAUUUGAUUAAGAAUGCUUAAGAAUGUGAUAAUUGUGAUAUUUUGUUGCAUUUAUAAGAGCACUUCCAUCCAUGAUAUCUUAUAGAAAAUAUAUAAUGAAGAUAAUAUAAUAUAGACAAAAAAUAAUAACUUUUCUCAAAAGAUAAAUAAUAACUCAUAAGCAAAUAUCAUACAAUAACUAAAAGGAAAAUAUUCUCAAUGCUCAAGCUGUCCACGUCAGAUUUUAUAUUCAGACCAAUCAAAGGACAGUAUUUUACCACAUCACAACAACUUAGAGUAACUGGGCCUCCCGUGAAAUUAAAUUAAAUCAUGGCCCAUAACCCUUAUAAAACCUAGCUGCCAAAAUCUCCUAAGCAUCAAUUAAAACGACGCUUUCCACUUCAUCUUCUACACCUCCAAUUCCUCAAAUCGUCGUUACAGACCCCAUUCCUGAUCAAUCAAUGAUGCUCUUUAAUCCUUUCUUCAUGGUUUCGUUCCAUCUCCCCUUCAUUCUCCUCUUAUAUAAAUCUCUACAUUUAAACCUAAAUCCAGAAAAAAACGGAAAUCUCCACAGAAAGAUAUCACGCUAUAACCAUGAAGUAUACAAUACUUUGUGAUUUAUAUUGAUUAUAUGAUUUGAUUUUUGAUUGCAUUUGUAUAUACAAAAUUGUUCUGUCAAUUAUUAUUGUUUGUUUCUGAUGUCUGUCGAUAUUGGGUUAUGCAAGUGUGUUCAGGAAGGAGAGGAAAAAAUUGAGUUACAUUAAGUUAUAUUAUCUAGCAAGCAAUCUGCAAAAGUGAAGUCAGCCCAUAUUAGGGUUGAGCUCCUCUUCUCUUCAUCUCCGCCAUUCGACCCCCGGCCUGAGUUUUAAAAGCGUUGAUUCGUCUUCUUCCAAACAAUCGAAGAGUAACCAGUUACGGAGUAACCAAGUUUCAUGUUUAAAUCUUCACUGAAUUCUGUUUAGGCUUAACGGCAGUGAAGGUUCCGAAAAUCUCAGAGAAAUUAAUCGUCGUCAGUAAUCGGUAUGUCUAUGAGGUUUAGCGUUGUUUGGCUCUCGAUUCAUCUUCUCUUAGGCGUUAAAACUUGCAUUGAUUCAUCGUCAUUAACUAUUUCGAUCCACUGAAAAACGAUCACUCAUUCAAUGACUCUUCCAAGCAUUGAAUCUCCACCUAUAAAAAACCGCAGCUCAGGCCUUUAAUGGCGGCGAAAGGAAAUCUUGGUGGCCGAAGAAGGAAGGUCAUCACUUGGCGGUGGUGGUGGUGGUCUGGGUUUGUUUGUGUAACGGGCGCCUGCACCUCCUGUCAAGUUCUCCGACGAGGGGCUAUAAACAACAUAAUCUGUUGCUCAUAUCAAACGUGUCACUGAAAUCUAAAUUGAGGCCUCAGUGGUUGUUAACUCAACAAAAUGAAUGCCAUGGUGGAAAAAUCAUCUCUUAUUACUUGAUUCGUGCUCAGGUUUAUAUGUUUGCAGAGUUUGACAAUGAAACCGGUGAUGAUCAAUGCUUCUUCAGUAAGUCCACAGGUUAUGUUAACACUUGCGGUAAUUGCUUCAAAAGUUCUUCAAAGUAUGGAGAUGUCCAGAAAAUAGAACCAGUAAUGGUGUCAAAUGUUAAUUCGCCAGCAUAGGUCAGUAUCGUAGUAGGUUCUUCUUUUAAAGGAGCAGGUGUGGAGGACCCACUUGAGAGCAAUAUCCUACAUGUCAGCAGAAUCUACACAUCUUAGUUUAAGUAGUCCGAUUUCAAAUUCUUCGCACAAUAAAGUCAUACUUUUGAUUUGCUUAUUUGCUACUUUUUAUCAACUUGAUAAUGUCGCUGCGACUUUCCUGACGUUGAGGUACGAUCAUGAAAAGCAACAAAUUUUUGGUCUCUGGAUUCUCAAUGGUGCAUUUAUAAUAAUAGUAUUCAAUUUCAGAAUAUUAUUCA